AAUGAGAACUGGGUGAACAAGUGUAGCGACGUUUCCUCAAUCACAGAGGAAGAAGAGGUCUAAGAAAAUGAGGAAAGCAGAGGCUGGAUUUGAAUUUCAGGAAGAUGCCGAUAAAAAUGGAGAUGAGGUGUCGAAGAAGAUUGGUGUCAACUUCAAACAGAGUGAGCCGCACAACAAACCAAGUUCUGGAGGUGAAAUUGAAGUGAAUGAGGGAGCAUACUACCCUAUUCAUUUGAGCUGGAAUACACUGAAGAGGAGUUGAGGCAGCAACAACAAGAAUUGCAAGACCAGCGAUGGGGAGCCCCAGUCAGACUCCGACUGGUGGUGCCGAUGCGGGUGCUGUCCAGCCAUGCCGACCGAAGAGGAAUGUUUGUGCUGCAACUAAUUAGAUCGCCGACAGUUCUUACUGGAGAGGGUCACUGCAGACCCCAUGGAUCAUGUGUCUGUGACAUCAAAGUUUCAAUGCACAUAUGGAUAGAGAUGUGUUGGAGACGUUCUUCAGAACCUCAAGGAUCAAGAUCAACUGGCAGCGACAGCCUAGAACAGCUGGACCAAGAGGGCAAAUGACAAACGAACAAUACAUCUCGGUGGCCUGCAGAUUCUUUUUGGAGUUUGUUCUAUGUGGGAAAAGCUAGGCACAAGACACCGAAUCCCCUUGCCUGCCCCUUACAAAAAGAGACUGCAGUUUUGACACUGCAGUAAAAGUGCAGUAACUGCCGUCGUCAGUGGUAUUUUGGACGCAGUAAAUGCAGAAUAACUGCUGUGUACUGCAGUUGAACUGCAGUUAUACUGCAAAAUUACAGGACAGUAUGUUGGAUACAAAUAAGCUGAUGACUCAAAAGGAGAUGUGAAAGGUCCAUAACAACAAUCUUCCCUUGUAUCAAAGUGACUUCGAACACCUCCCUUCACCUCCCUGACGCACCAUAUGCAAUUUGUAGAACUGUCAUAUUUAUUAUAGGCGUUAGUAGUAUAUUUUUCUUCUACUGUAUAUAUGUCAUGCAUUGCCUUAACUGUUCCUGCAUACUACUGUGUAAACUCACCUCGGUCUCGAGAGCAAAUAAACUUUGUCUUGAAUACAAUCCAUGUCUACUUGCUACAUUGAGACUAAUCUACAAUUUAAUUAAAACAUGUUUACAUGCCAACAAAAUGAAAGUUGAAAUGUUUGGUUUUACCAGUAAGAUUGUAGCUAGUUACUUCUAAAUACAUCCCAUGAAUAUCACAAUAAAUUGAUCCAGAAGUCAACACUAUUGGUUUCUGAUGCAGCUGGAAUCAUUUAGUCACUUGCAGUACACGUCAAAAAGAUUAGAUAAAAUAUCUUAUCAAACUCC
rnacentral:lncRNA from 1 species